rnacentral:sRNA from 2 species
AUUGAAAAUGCGCUUAAUUCCCGGAAUUGAAACCGGGAAACGGGGGAACCGAAUAUUGGGGCGAAUCGGCGUUUCGGAAAUUUGCGUCCGAAAUGCGGUAGGAAACCAUCUUUUCCGAGCCCGUCAGCUAACCUCGUCGGCAAUAGAUGGGCCAUUU